rnacentral:lncRNA from 10 species
CCACAUCCAGCUAAUACAUUUUUUUUUUAAGAGAUGGGGUCUUGCUAUGUUGUCCAGGCCCAGUCUUGAACUCCUGGCCUUAAGUGAUCCUCAUGCCUUGGCCUCCCAAACACUGAGAUUAAAGAUGUAAGCACCCAGCCGGCAUCAGUUUAAAGAAAAAUAUAUAUAUAUGCUUGUGUCCAAAUAUUGAUUCAUUUUAUUACAACAUAAAAUAUAUACAAACAUAAAAUUUAUUUUUUUGAGACAGAGUCUCACUCUGUUGCCCAGGCUGGAGUGCAGUGGUGUGAUCUCAGUUUACUGUCACCUCUGCCUCCCAGGUUCAAGUGAUUCUCCUGUCUCAGCCUACCAAGUAGCUGGGAUUACAGGUGGGUGCCACCAUGCCUGGCUAAUUUUUGUAUUUUUAGUAGAGACAGGGUUUUGCCAUGUUGGCCAGGUUGGUCUCGAACUCCUGACCUCAAGUGAUCCACCCUCAGCCUCUUAAAGUGCUGGGAUUACAGGUGUGAGCCACCAUGCCUGAUUGGAUACAAAUAUAAAAUUAUAACUCCUAUGUUCACAGUUCAUAUACAACAUCACACCCCAAAUAAAUUUUACUUAAUGGCUAUUAACUAAAAAGAAAGAGACCAUAUGGCUAGGCACGGUGGCUCACGCCUGUAAUCCCAGCACUUUGGGAUUACAGGUCUUUUUGAGCUCAACAUGACUGGUCUAUAGGUGCUGUGUCAUGACACACACCAUUCACCACUCUCCUCUAUGUGAACUACUGUGAAACCGUCUUUGUUUCAGCAUUCAUGAUGCACAUUUGAUCUUCUCUUGGCAGGAAUACAACACAUACAUAUUAAAUUAGUCUAUUCUCUUUCUUUCUUUCCUUUCCUUUCUUUCUUUCUUUUCGUUUUCUGAGACGGAGUCUUGCUCUGUUACACAGGUUGGAGUGCAAUGGCGCUAUCUUGGCUCACUGCAACGUCUGUCUCCCGGGUUCAAGCAAUUCUCCUGCCUCAGCCUCCCAAGUAGCUGAGCAUUACAGACUUGCAGAGUGGCAAAUCACUAGAGGGCAAACGUCGCACUGCCUUAGAAAUGGAGUUGGUAUUGGUGAAUUCAACAAGAGGACCAGAAGGAGGAGGAAGAGGGAAGAUUUUAAUGCUGUGCAGUGGUGCUCAGGUCUAGGUCAAGAACAAUGAGUCUCAUAUGAUUGUCUCUUGACUUUGACUAUCACGGUAGGACUUUACUGACAAGCCGGGUAAUAACAGGGAAAUCCUAUUCCUUUUGCCUUCAAAAUUUAUUUUGUCUUUAUUUCACUUGACCUGGUUCAUUUCCUCUAUAGUUUCUUAUUUCAGCAAUAUUUAUUGAACACUAUCAUGAUUAAUCAGGCACACCAGGUGCUGGUGACAGGAACAGUGAACAAAACGGACAAAAAUUCUUGUAAUCAUGGAGCAUGUAUUCUAGUAUGGAGAUAAAAAAUAAGCGAAAUAAGCUAACUCAUACAGUAUGCUGCAAGCUGUAAGCUGUUGUAUGUUGUGGAGAAAAUAAAGCAGGGAAAAAGGAGUCAGAGAAUGGUGGAGGGGGUUGCAGUCAGACUACCUGCUUAGCUGAGUCCUGCACAAGGAUAUUUGGGCAGAGAUAAGUAUGAGCUGACAUCCAGCCAUCUUCUGGUGAGAAGAUGCCUUUUUCUGAGUAAUGACAGGGCUCCAGAAGCCUCAGGUAGUGACCAAAAUGUUAAUCUCUGCCUUUAAAUGGGACACUCUUCAAAAUGUCCUUCUGGCAAUAUUGAGUUCUUAAGCUUUUGAAUGCGUUGGAUAUAAGCUUUUGCCAAGGUUUUAAAAUUUUAUGCUAUAACUUUAAACCUUUUUGUAGAUGAGAAAAUCACAUAUUAUUGAAUUAAAAUCUUAUUCAAGUCUAACAACAUUCCAUCGGUUGUAUUUACUUUGUCUAUAUAGCCUGCUAGACUCUUACAGCAGAGUAGCAAAUGGGUUGAUGAGAUUCUCUUCAGAGAAUCAGAGUCAGGCUGAGCAUUCUUCCAUACGUGGCACUGUUGGUGUUUUUGGACUGAUUAUGUGAAGAGCAAACCCAGCAUCUUCUUGGGACUCCAAGGAAAGUUGCAUAUUCUAUAAUUUAUAGGGCCAUUGCAAUUUUUCUAAUUAAAAACGAAUAUAACUUCUGCCCUUUUCAACCACAGCACAUAUGUUCUGUCUCCCAUUGUUCCCUAGUAAGAGAUAAUGGCCUGGCAGUGUAGACUAAUUUCUUGAGUAUUUUAAUUUGGAAGCCAAUUAGCCCUCCCUAUCUAAAGCACAUUUUGACAUUUUCUUCCCAAGACAAGCCAGUCUUGACUUUCUGCCCCUCUCUUGGUACAGACAGUGCAUGUUACAUGUAUUAAAUUACAAUUAUUUUAAUAAAAAAUUAAGAUUAAAAUUUGAAAACAUAGUCUACUUAGAGAUACCAAGUUGUGGAGUGUGCUAUGUAAAAUGAGGACAAAAUUUUCACUGAACAUCUUCUUUCCCUUGAUAUCACUGAUCAAUUUUUUUUUUUUUUUGAGACAGAGUCUCACUUUGUCAUCCAAGCUGGAGUUUAGUGGCACAAUCUCAGCUCACUGCAACCUUCACUUUCUGGGUUCAAGCAAUCCUCCUGCCUCAGCCUCCCAAGUAGCUGGGAUUAUAAGUGUGUGUCACCACGCCUGGCUAUUUGUUUUGUAUUUUUUAUUUAUUUUAUUUUAUGUAUUUAUUUAUUUUUUAUUAUUUUUUGAGACAGAGUUUCACUCUUGUCACCCAGGCUGGAGUGCAAUGGCACGAUCUUGGCUCACUAUAAUCUCCACCUCCUGGGUUCAAACAAUUCUCCUGCCUUAGCCUCCUGAGUAGCUGGGACUACAGGUGUGCGCCACUGUGCCCAGCCAAUUUUUUUGUAUUUUUAGUAGAGACGGGGUUCUGCCACUUUAGCCAGGCUGGUCUUGAACUCCUGACCUCAGGUGAUCUGCCCGCCUUGGCCUCCCAAAGUGCUGUGAUUAUAGGCAUGAAUCACCGUGCCUAGCCUGUAUUUUUGGUAGAGAUGGGGUUUAACCAUGUUGGCCAGGCUGGUCUCAAACUCCUGACCUCAAGUGACCUGCCCCCCUCUGCCUCCCAAAGUGUUGGGAUUACAGGCGUGAGCCACCGCGCCUGGCCAAUAUUUGAUUCCUACCUUUUAUUUCCCUUGUAAUUUCUGUUUUGCUUUGAUCAACUGAUUUUGUCCUAUAAGUUUCCGUACUCUCUUUUAGUGAGGAUGAGACUACGGGGUUAGCCUCAGAAUUAUAGAAAAACUCAAUUUAGAAUUGUUAAAGGAGAAGAUAGAAAAGGACACUAGCUUGUAUGGAUGAAGAGGGUUAGUCAUUCUAACCAUUCUGGAGUGGAUGACAGUUAAAUGUUAAUCAGAAUUGAGUCUCAGUGUCUUUUUUCUAUUUGUGCUAUUUCUCUCUUCCCUUGUUUCUCUUCACCAUCUUGUUGAGCAUUCCCCAUGGCUUUUCUUGGGUAAAAGCCAGACAACCAGGUACUGCAAGAGCACCGAACCCCUCCCUUGAUUCUACCCUUCAUUUUGCCUCUAGAUUUCACUCCCCUAUAUCUAUCUCCAUUACAUUUUCUUUGUAUCUACUAACUAAGGGAUACAGAUCUUCUUCCAAUACAGAGUGUGAUUGCAGCACAAUUACAAUUGAAACAAAAAGGAGAAGCUGACUUUGCUGAAAAUAUGAAAAUUCAUUCUGAAUUCCUUUAAACUGUAGCACAUAUGCUUAUAUUAGUGGCAAUACGAAUUUGUAAGAAAAGGAAGAGAAAAAAGAUCUGCCUUCCUUCCCUGCAAAAUGGCAUCACACAUGACGAUCAGAGACUGAAUGUACAAAUGAAAAAUGGUUGGACCAUAUAAAAAAAAAUAGAACUCUGAAUUAUGCUGCAACCUGCUUAGGAAACUAACUUCUUUAUCUACAAUAAGUAGUUCAGGACGCCAGCCUGCUAUAAGUUGCGGGGACCCACUUGAAACACGAGAGUUGAUACGAAGAUUAUUUUAAACUGAAGAUAUCUGAGAUUCAACAGAUGCAGGGAAUAGCAUCCUUGGAGCUUGUCUUAUCUGACUAACAGCAGCAACUUCUGAAAAAUGAGGCUACAUAAAUCCCCUCUCCUGGGGAGUUUCAUGGCCAUGAAGAAGAUGGAAAGACCACCCACACUUGCAUAAACAAACAUUAUAGCAAAUUUUCUUAACUCCUGUUUGUUCUUCUAAAAACUCAUUUGUUUUUCCUAAAGAAACCUAUUUGUUCUAUGAGAGCCAUUUCUGCCCUCUCCCCUUUCUCUACUAAAUUAGGUAUAUGAACCUCUAACUUCAGUGAGCAAACUACUUCUUUGUUGUAUGUGAAGAAAACUUUUUUUCCUUUUUAAUCUUUCUUUCGUCAAUAUAGGCCCCAGGUACUGAAGAUAAGAAUAUAGAGAAGUUUUUCUUCUGACAGACUUGCUGGAAGCCAGGUGGCUAUCGCUGGUAACAAUCCAGGAAGCUAACGGAUAACUUCUGUAACAACUGGACCCACACGGCCAGGACUUGAUUAAUGACUGACAUCUACCCUAAUUUUUGUGCCUACAUCCAAUUUAAGACCAAACAGAGAAAACGAAACACGCACCCCUAACCGAUCAUGCAGAAUGCCCCUACUUCUGUUUAGCCCGCCUACAGCUUCCCCAUGGCAAUAGCCUCCAAUCAGGAUACACCUGAACCCUUCCCUCCCCACCCACUGCCCUGCUAUAAAGCUUUCUCAUUUCUCUGCCUUUGAAUCACUGCCAAAACACAGCGACAGUAGCUAACUCCCUUGUUGUAUAGCAGGCUGUGAAAAAAUAGCACUUGCAUUUCUCAUUUGAUUGGUCGUCAUUUAUUUCUAUAACCAUGUGUUUCAUUCAUGCAAUUCAGAAGUUUCUUUGGAAUAACUUGCAGAGUAAACUAAAAAAUAUUUAUUUGCUAUGAUACUUUAUAUAUAUUUUCUGCUUAUUUAAGUUCCCUACUGAGGUUUUGAAAUUCUCCCUGAUGCUGGUAGUAUAAAAAUCUUAUUUGAAGCAAAUCAAUUAAUCCUGAAGAUGACUGAAAGAUCAAUAUGAGAUAGCUGCAGAUAAACCAACUAUUCUCUAAGCUCUAGGACACCUUCAAACAGCACAUUCUGCCUUUUAAUACAAGUAUUUACACACUGAUUUCAGUUGUAAAGAAAUGAGAAACUUCAAGUAUAAAAAGCUUGGGACUAUGAAAACCAAGCGUUUUGUCUAAACAUCUUUUGUUGUUGUUCUUGGUAAAAAAGAAGGCUUCGGGGCUGGUGGCACGCGCCUGUAGUCCCAGCUACUGGGGAGGCUGAGGCAAGAGAAUCGCUUGAAUCCAGG